rnacentral:rRNA from 1 species
AUUGAACGCUGGCGGCAGGCCUAACACAUGCAAGUCGAGCGAGCGGCGGACGGGUGAGUAAUGUAUGGGGACUGCCCGAUAGAGGGGGAUAACUACUGGAAACGGUAGCUAAUACAGCAUACUAACGGAAAACCCAAAGUGGAUUAGCUAGUAGGUGAGGUAAUGGCUCACCUAGGCGACGAUCCCUAGCUGGUCUGAGAGGAUGAUCAGCCACACUGGGACUGAGACACGGCCCAGACUCCUAAGGAGGAAGCAGUGGGGAAUAGUGGACAAUGGGCGCAAGCCUGAUGCAGCCAUGCCGCGUGUAUGAAGAAGGCCCUAGGGUUGUAAAGUACUUUCAGUCGGGAGGCGUUACCUACAGAGGAAGCACCGGCUAACUCCGUGCCAGCAGCCGCGGUAAUUC